GCGAUACAGGGUGACAGCCCCGUACACAAAAAUGCACAUAUUGUGAGCUCGAUGAGUAGGGCGGGACACGUGGUAUCCUGUCUGAAUAUGGGGGGACCAUCCUCCAAGGCUAAAUACUCCUGACUGACCGAUAGUGAACCAGUACCGUGAGGGAAAGGCGAAAAGAACCCCGGCGAGGGGAGUGAAAAAGAACCUGAAACCGUGUACGUACAAGCAGUGGGAGCACGCUUAGGCGUGUGACUGCGUACCUUUUGUAUAAUGGGUCAGCGACUUAUAUUCUGUAGCAAGGUUAACCGAAUAGGGGAGCCGAAGGGAAACCGAGUCUUAACUGGGCGUUAAGUUGCAGGGUAUAGACCCGAAACCCGGUGAUCUAGCCAUGGGCAGGUUGAAGGUUGGGUAACACUAACUGGAGGACCGAACCGACUAAUGUUGAAAAAUUAGCGGAUGACUUGUGGCUGGGGGUGAAAGGCCAAUCAAACCGGGAGAUAGCUGGUUCUCCCCGAAAGCUAUUUAGGUAGCGCCUCGUGAAUUCAUCUCCGGGGGUAGAGCACUGUUUCGGCAAGGGGGUCAUCCCGACUUACCAACCCGAUGCAAACUGCGAAUACCGGAGAAUGUUAUCACGGGAGACACACGGCGGGUGCUAACGUCCGUCGUGAAGAGGGAAACAACCCAGACCGCCAGCUAAGGUCCCAAAGUCAUGGUUAAGUGGGAAACGAUGUGGGAAGGCCCAGACAGCCAGGAUGUUGGCUUAGAAGCAGCCAUCAUUUAAAGAAAGCGUAAUAGCUCACUGGUCGAGUCGGCCUGCGCGGAAGAUGUAACGGGGCUAAACCAUG
rnacentral:rRNA from 1 species